CCUUGCUGUUCUGUUUGGUGGUGUGAAAAAAAGAAAAUCCCCUAUGCGCUAACACUCUUUGGCGUUGAUGGCUUAUUACCAGGCGCUGUGAUUUGACGGGAUGUGUUCAAGGAUCUCCUGUGCGGAGGAAAAGCUGGUGAUGUGCUGGUAGAGCUGACCCUUAGUACAGCUUCCUACUCUGACAGCCAGGGGCCGUUAAGGGCCAUGUGGGCCCGGCUGCAGCUGCUCCACUCUCCUUGCCCACUCAGCAGGCACACUGUGCCCUUUGAGCCCACCUGCCAUUCAAUCCAGCACAGAUGUGCCCUCAGCUGUUCUCUGUGCCAUUACUGCUCCCUGCACUUUUUAUCCUGCACCUCGGAGACCCCAAACUGCCAAACGAGGUGAAUUAUGGCCAGUUAUAUGGAGUGGACUCUGAGCCACGGGGGACAGGACAUAGUCAGAAGAACUAACCACAGUUCUGACCAUUAAAAGCCAGCCUGACACUGGCCCUUCAUCUUUCCUCCUCCACGAGACGAGUGCUCCCAACCUUUGCUUCCCAUGAGAAGAGACAGAGCCGAGAGAAGAGAGCCCCCUCAGCCCAGGCACGCUUCCCCCUAUCAUUAUGAGUUAAGCUUCUCACCUCUACCUUUCUUUCUGGGAGUCUCCCUCUCUUCUUCUCCCUCUCUCUUUAUCAUACUGUGGCUUUUCGGCUUUGUGCUGUUUUCUUUUUGUUGCUCUUUUUUUCUGUCUCUGCCUGUCCUUCUUUAUUUCUCUCUGCAAGGUUAAUUGCAUUAGUUAAAAGAAGCCCUGCCUGUUGGUUGCUUAUGGAGGUCGCAGUUAGGCAUAUGACCCUCACAAAUCUGCUCUGGCCACCCACCACCGCAGCUGAGAUGAUAGGGCUGCUGAUGAGGCUUCAGUUGGUGUCCUGGUCUGCUGGGUAUCCCAAAAUAACAGCGAAGCAGUGAUUUAAAGGUUUUGAUGUUAUUCCUGUUACGCCUGCUUGCGAGCAGGACUGCUGUGAUCUCUAAAGCGCAAGUAUAAAUGAACAACCCC
ensembl:lncRNA